rnacentral:rRNA from 1 species
AUUGAACGCUGGCGGCAGGCCUAACACAUGCAAGUCGAACGAGUGGCGGACUGGUGAGUAAUUUCUGGGAAACUGCGCGAUGGAGGGGGAUAACUACUGGAAACGGUAGCUAAUACCGCAUACGAUCGUAUGGGGCCUGGUGGGAUUAGCUAGUAGGUGGGGUAACGGCUCACCUAGGCGACGAUCCCUAGCCGGUCUGAGAGGGUGACCGGCCACACUGGGACUGAGACACGGCCCAGACUCCUACGGGAGGCAGCAGUGGGGAAUAUUGCACAAUGGGCGAAAGUCUGAUCGAGCCACGCCGCGUGUAUGAAGAAGGCCUUCGGGUUGUAAAGUACUUUCGGCGGAGAAGCGUUACCUGCCGAAGAAGCACCGGCUAACUACGUGCCAGCAGCCGCGGUAAUAC